GAUGAACGCUAGCGGCAGGCCUAAUACAUGCAAGUCGAACGAGAUUGUUGUAGCAAUAUGACAUGAAAGUGGCGCACGGGUGCGUAACACGUAUGCAAUCUACCUCUAAUUGGAGAAUAGCCUCGAGAAAUCGGGAUUAAUACUCCAUAACAUUAUUGAAUGGCAUCAUUUGAUAAUCAAACUUCCGGGGAUUAGAGAUGAGCAUGCGCAACAUUAGCUAGUUGGUAAGGUAACGGCUUACCAAGGCUACGAUGUUUAGGGGGUCUGAGAGGAUGAUCCCCCACACUGGUACUGAGACACGGACCAGACUCCUACGGGAGGCAGCAGUAGGGAAUAUUGGGCAAUGGAGGAAGCUCUGACCCAGCCAUGCCGCGUGCAGGAUGACGGCCCUCUGGGUUGUAAACUGCUUUUAUACGGGAAGAAAAAAUACUACGUGUAGUAUACUGACGGUACCGUAAGAAUAAGGAUCGGCUAACUCCGUGCCAGCCGCCGCCGUAAAAC
rnacentral:rRNA from 1 species